UGGGAUAACAGUUCGAAAGGACUGCUAAUACCGGAUACACUCCUUGCUCGCAAGGUCAAGGAGGAAAGGUGGCGCUCCCUUCGGGGAGCUGCCGUGUGGAGAUGAGUCUGCGUCCCAUUAGCUAGUUGGCAGGGUAAAGGCCUACCAAGGCAACGAUGGGUAGCGGGUCUGAGAGGAUGAUCCGCCACACUGGAACUGAAACACGGACCAGACUCCUACGGGAGGCAGCAGUGAGGAAUAUUGGACAAUGGGCGCAAGCCUGAUCCAGCGACGCCGCGUGAGUGAUGAAGGCCUUCGGGUCGUAAAGCUCUGUCGGAGGGGAAGAACGGCCAUGAGGUUAAUACCCUUAUGGAUUGACGGUACCCUCAGAGGAAGCACCGGCUAACUCCGUGCCAGCAGCCGCGGUAAUACGGAGGGUGCAAGCGUUAAUCGGAAUUACUGGGCGUAAAGGGCGCGUANGCGGCCNAUCAANUCANAUGUGAAAGCCCNCNGCUUAACCGUGCGAAGUGCAUCUGAAACUGGUUGGCUUG
rnacentral:rRNA from 1 species